rnacentral:miRNA from 1 species
AGCUGUCUUUGGACUACAAGUCCCAUCAUCCCUAGCUAGCAGGACCAGUGGUCAGGGAUGAUGGGAGUUGUAGUCCAAAAACAGCU